rnacentral:rRNA from 1 species
GACGAACGCUGGCGGCGUGCCUAAUACAUGCAAGUUGAGCGAUGAAGAUUGGUGCUUGCACCAAUUUGAAGAGCAGCGAACGGGUGAGUAACGCGUGGGGAAUCUGCCUUUGAGCGGGGGACAACAUUUGGAAACGAAUGCUAAUACCGCAUAACAACUUUAAACAUAAGUUUUAAGUUUGAAAGAUGCAAUUGCAUCACUCAAAGAUGAUCCCGCGUUGUAUUAGCUAGUUGGUGAGGUAAAGGCUCACCAAGGCGAUGAUACAUAGCCGACCUGAGAGGGUGAUCGGCGACAUUGGGACUGAGCAACGGCCCAAACUCCUACGGGAGGCAGAAGUAGGGAAGCUUCGGCAAUGGACGAAAGUCUGACCGAGCAACGCCGCGUGAGUGAAGAAGGUUUUCGGAUCGUAAAGCUCUGUUGGUAGAGAAGAACGUUGGUGAGAGUGGAAAGCUCAUCAAGUGACGGUAACUACCCAGAAAGGGACGGCUAACUACGUG